rnacentral:rRNA from 2 species
GUGCGAGACCGAUAGCGAACAAGUACCGUGAGGGAAAGAUGAAAAGAACUUUGAAAAGAGAGUUAAAGAGUACCUGAAACUGCUGAAAGGGAACCGAAUCGUUUCCAGUGUCUAUAAUCCAUGGUAUAUUUCAUUGGUGAGUGAGUGCGUGCAGCGUUUUGGAAGUGGUUUCCGCUCCUGUCGUUGUUGUGCAUUUGCUUGCUGGUGCCCUGUGCUGUGGUGGGACGUCAGAGUCAGUUUGUAUGUUGCGGGAAAUGAUUAUUGGGGAGGUAGGUCACUUCGGUGGCUGUUAUAUCCUGAUAAUUAGUCGUCGUGGCUGAGACUGAGGUGCCUACAACGUGCUUUCGAGUCUGCGGGUUUCUCGUGUUGCUGUUUGCUUUGAUAGCUUGCUAUGUUGGUGAAUAAGUAGUGCGAUUGAGAUUUGUAGUAACUUGUUGCUGUUCGGGACUUUGAA